rnacentral:rRNA from 1 species
AGGUAAGCUACUAAGAGCGAAUGGUGGAUGCCUUGACUGGUAAAGGCGAUGAAGGACGUACUAGACUGCGAUAAGCUACGGGGAGCUGUCAAGAAGCUUUGAUCCGUAGAUUUCCGAAUGGGGCAACCCAAUGUAUAGAGAUAUACAUUACCUAAUAUAGGAGCGAACGAGGGGAAUUGAAACAUCUUAGUACCCUCAGGAAAAGAAAUCAAUAGAGAUUGCGUCAGUAGCGGCGAGCGAAAGCGCAAGAGGGCAAACCCAGUGCUUGCACUGGGGGUUGUAGGACUGCAAUGUGCAAGAGGUAAGUUUAGCAGAACAUUCUGGAAAGUAUAACCAUAGAGGGUGAUAGUCCCGUAUGCGAAAAACAAACCUUAGCUAGCAGUAUCCUGAGUAGGGCGGGACACGAGGAAUCCUGUCUGAAUCUGGGUCGACCACGAUCCAACCCUAAAUACUAAUACCAGAUCGAUAGUGCACAAGUACCGUGAGGGAAAGGUGAAAAGAACUGAGGUGAUCAGAGUGAAAUAGAACCUGAAACCAUUUGCUUACAAUCAUUCAGAGCCCUAUGUAGCAAUACAGGGUGAUGGACUGCCUUUUGCAUAAUGAGCCUGCGAGUUGUGGUGUCUGGCAAGGUUAAGCAAACGCGAAGCCGUAGCGAAAGCGAGUCUGAAUAGGGCGCUUAGUCAGAUGCUGCAGACCCGAAACGAAGUGAUCUAUCCAUGAGCAAGUUGAAGCUAGUGUAAGAACUAGUGGAGGACUGAACCCAUAGGCGUUGAAAAGCCCCGGGAUGACUUGUGGAUAGGGGUGAAAGGCCAAUCAAACUUCGUGAUAGCUGGUUCUCUCCGAAAUAUAUUUAGGUAUAGCGUUGUGUCGUAAUAUAAGGGGGUAGAGCACUGAAUGGGCUAGGGCAUACACCAAUGUACCAAACCCUAUCAAACUCCGAAUACCUUAUAUGUAAUCACAGCAGUCAGGCGGCGAGUGAUAAAAUCCGUCGUCAAGAGGGAAACAACCCAGACUACCAGCUAAGGUCCCUAAAUCUUACUUAAGUGGAAAACGAUGUGAAGUUACUUAAACAACCAGGAGGUUGGCUUAGAAGCAGCCAUCCUUUAAAGAAAGCGUAAUAGCUCACUGGUCUAGUGAUUUUGCGCGGAAAAUAUAACGGGGCUAAAGUAAGUACCGAAGCUGUAGACUUAGUUUACUAAGUGGUAGGAGAGCGUUCUAUUUGCGUCGAAGGUAUACCGGUAAGGAGUGCUGGAGCGAAUAGAAGUGAGCAUGCAGGCAUGAGUAGCGAUAAUUAAUGUGAGAAUCAUUAACGCCGUAAACCCAAGGUUUCCUACGCGAUGCUCGUCAUCGUAGGGUUAGUCGGGUCCUAAGUCGAGUCCGAAAGGGGUAGACGAUGGCAAAUUGGUUAAUAUUCCAAUACCAACAUUAGUGUGCGAUGGAAGGACGCUUAGGGCUAAGGGGGCUAGCGGAUGGAAGUGCUAGUCUAAGGUCGUAGGAGGUUAUACAGGCAAAUCCGUAUAACAAUACUCCGAGAACUGAAAGGCUUUUUGAAGUCUUCGGAUGGAUAGAAGAACCCCUGAUGCCGUCGAGCCAAGAAAAGUUUCUAAGUUUAGCUAAUGUUGCCCGUACCGUAAACCGACACAGGUGGGUGGGAUGAGUAUUCUAAGGCGCGUGGAAGAACUCUCUUUAAGGAACUCUGCAAAAUAGCACCGUAUCUUCGGUAUAAGGUGUGGUUAGCUUUGUAUUAGGAUUUACUCCGAAAGCAAGGAAACUUACAACAAAGAGUCCCUCCCGACUGUUUACCAAAAACACAGCACUCUGCUAACUCGUAAGAGGAUGUAUAGGGUGUGACGCCUGCCCGGUGCUCGAAGGUUAAUUGAUGGGGUUAGCAUUAGCGAAGCUCUUGAUCGAAGCCCGAGUAAACGGCGGCCGUAACUAUAACGGUCCUAAGGUAGCGAAAUUCCUUGUCGGUUAAAUACCGACCUGCAUGAAUGGCGUAACGAGAUGGGAGCUGUCUCAAAGAGGGAUCCAGUGAAAUUGUAGUGGAGGUGAAAAUUCCUCCUACCCGCGGCAAGACGGAAAGACCCCGUGGACCUUUACUACAGCUUGACACUGCUACUUGGAUAAGAAUGUGCAGGAUAGGUGGGAGGCUUUGAGUAUAUGACGCCAGUUGUAUAUGAGCCAUUGUUGAGAUACCACUCUUUCUUAUUUGGGUAGCUAACCAGCUUGAGUUAUCCUCAAGUGGGACAAUGUCUGGUGGGUAGUUUGACUGGGGCGGUCGCCUCCCAAAUAAUAACGGAGGCUUACAAAGGUUGGCUCAGAA